rnacentral:rRNA from 1 species
AGCAGCCGCGGUAAUUCCAGCUCCAAUAGCGUAUAUUAAAGUUGUUGCAGUUAAAAAGCUCGUAGUUGAAUUUCGGAAUUUGUCGGUUGGUCGGGCUUCACUGUCCGCACUGACCUGAUAGAUUCCUACCUUCUGAAUAACCAGCAUGCUAUUAAGUUAGUGCGUUGGGGAAGCAGAGCUAUUACCUUGAAAAAAUUAGAGUGCUUAAAGCAGGCUUGUGCUUGAAUAGAUUAGCAUGGAAUAAUAAAAUAGGACGGCAUGGUUCUAUUUUGUUGGUUUCUAGGAUCACCGUAAUGAUUAAUAGGGAUAGUUGGGGGCAUUAGUAUUCAAUUGUCAGAGGUGAAAUUCUUGGAUUUAUUGAAGCUAACUUCUGCGAAAGCAUUUGCCAAGGAUGUUUUCAUUAAUCAAGAACGAAAGUUAGGGGAUCGAAGACGAUCAGAUACCGUCGUAGUCUUAACCAUAAACUAUGCCGACUAGGGAUCGGACGAUGUUAAUUUUUAAUGACUCGUUC